UUGUCUUGCGCUUUAUAUCGCCUGUCUCCCGAGAAGUCACGUGGUUGAGAGAAACUCUCUUCGACCUCGAGGAACUUGGUUCGAGACCCGGCACCGAGAGAAGAGAAGAAGAGGGAAAGAAGAAAAACAUGAGGUAUUUCAAAAUACCUCUCUUUUGUUGCUGCUCUUUUUUUUGUUCCUGCUACACUUCUCCUUCUCGUUGAUAGUGAAUCAAACUUGGGGCCAACCCUCCUACUCCAAGGGACUGUUGGUGAUAAACUGUUUGUGCUUGGAGGUGCAGAUGGGAAAAAUCUGCUCAAGGAUUUGUAUAUACCAGACACCAGUUCACCCACAUGUUUUUACAACACAUAGGAGACAAUCACCCACAGAUUUGUUCACGGCGUUGGAGGAGUUAAAAAGACAGAGUCCAAUCUUGUCGUCGAGUCGGCUGAGUGUAGGAUGUUGGAUUAAUUGUUGAAUUAAUGAAUUAUGGAUUGACGACAAUCAAUUAUUAUAAGUUAAUCUUAAUAUAAAUUAUGGUCUAUUGUGUUGAGCACUAAUUAGCUAGUGAAUAUGUGUGAUUGAGCUAUUGUUUCUAAAUGGACCGUGAUGAAUUGACUCAUUUAGCUAAGCUCAAUGAGAGGUCCUUGCCCUCAGCCGUUUAGCUAUUUAAACAUCAUUCCAUCAGACAAUUAAGCAUUAUGAACAGUAUGGUGAAAACCUAGAUAACGGUGGUGAGGGUAGUCAUCCCUCUCAUACUUGUUGGUGGUUGUCUUUCAUGAACUUAAACCUAAAGGAACACAAUUUCUUAUUCCUGCUUUGUUACUAAUGAUAUGCUAUAAUUUGUAUCUAGUGAUUAUGACAAAGCAGGAAAAAGAAAUUGUGUACUGUAGGUUUAGGUUCAUGGAGGACGACCGCCAACAAGUAUGGAGGACUACCCUCAUCUCCGUUUAGGUUAUCUAGGUUUUUACCAUACUGUUUAGAAUGCUUAACCGUCUGAUGGGAUGACGUUUAAAUAGCUAAACCGCUAAGGGCGGGGACCAACCUAUCACGUUCCAUUUAGAAACAAUAGCCCAAUCACACAUAUUCAUCAACUAAUUAGUGUUUAACACAAUAGACCAUAAUUUAUAUUGAGAUUAACUUAUAAUAAUUGAUUAUCGUCAAUCCAUAAUUCAAUAAUUAAUCCAACAUAGGAAGAAUCAGAAUGAGGUUGAUGAGCUUGAGAAGAAAGUUGCUUUGUUAGAAGAGAAAACCAGCCUCUCUGAGCAAUCGGCUGCAUUGAGUAGGAGCUGUGGAUUGGAAAGACAAGAGGAAGUGGUGAAGGGGGAAAAUAAGGAUUGUUUGAUGCAGAAUCUUGUGCUUGAAGUUGUUGGGUUGAGAAGGUUGAAUAAGGAGCUGCAUAUGUAGAAAAGGAACCUCACUUGUAGGCUCUCUUCUAUGGAGUCUCAAUUGUCUUGUUAUUCAGACUUCAGAAGCAACUUUUUGCAAUUUGACUGAUUUAAUUUUUAUGUUACGUAAUUUAUUUUCUCGUGGAUAGUUAGAUUGGAAUAGAAAUAUGGAUAGGCUCUCUUAGGAUUAACCAAUACAAUUAGGCUCUUAACUAUUUUUAUCGAUGCCUUGUUCUGGCAGCCACAACUACUGGUGAUGUUUCUAAAAAGGGUCAAUGGUUUUAGAAUGAUGUAUGCUAUCUUGUUGAGUUGGACUUAAAGUAGCGUGUGCUAACUUGCUGAGAAAAACUAGGGUUAUUAACUUAAAUUCUACUGAUAGGACAGUGAUGGUGAGCACUGCUCAUGGCUUGAAGUUUACUCUGUCCAAAAUGAAUUACCACCAUUCAAAGGUUAUCAAGUACUUGACUUGCCCAAUUUGCCUAUCCUCUACUGCAGGUCAAGCCUGAUUUUGGGUCUGUUAUUUAUGCUUUGUCCAAGUAUUUGCAGAGCAAGGGUGCCAAGUACCAUUAAGUUAGAAAUGCUGGUUUUGCUCAUGUGUCCUCGCUGCUUGUUUACUUUUUAGGCACUGUGUUGUCUUUUGUACUAGCUUCAAGUCUUCUAAUUUUCUUGAUUCUGAUGAGAUUCUGUUCAUUAUUGCUGUUUUAUUUUGUUUUGAAGUCAAUGAAAUUGGACCAGAACAUGCAAUGAGUUCUGAUGAUGUCUCGAGCAAAGAGGUAAAUGUAGAGGAAGAAGGUUUCAAUGUGCAUAUUGAUUUAGGGGAACCAAGUUUUGCAACAAAGAAAAAAGUACAAUUACUCCUGCUAUCAUGGGUAGAGAGUAGAGACAAAGAAUGGAUAAUCAACUCUAUGAGAGAAGAGACCAAGUGAUUGAAAGACUUUGUACAUGUUACUAAACAAAUAAUGGAAGAAAAUGCCCAAGUAGUGGUGCAAGAAGUGUUUAAUGAAAUGAAGAUGACUAUUGAUAUUGAUAAAGCUCUUGCAUUGAGUGAGAAGAAAGAUUUUCUUGAGUCUUUUAUAUCACGAGUAUUAUUUCACUUCAUGGAUUUAUAUAUAUAGUUUAUAUUUUGUAUGACCAUUUUUAAGGUUGAGCAGUGUAACA